CGCGUGGGAAUAUGCCCUUUGGUACGGAAUAGCCUCUGGAAACGGAGAGUAAUACCGUAUGAGCCCUUCGGGGGAAAGAAUUAUCGCCAAAGGAUUAGCCCGCGUUAGAUUAGGUAGUUGGUGGGGUAAUGGCCUACCAAGCCUACGAUCUAUAGCUGGUUUUAGAGGAUGAUCAGCAACACUGGGACUGAGACACGGCCCAGACUCCUACGGGAGGCAGCAGUGGGGAAUAUUGCACAAUGGGCGAAAGCCUGAUGCAGCCAUGCCGCGUGUGUGAAGAAGGCCCUAGGGUUGUAAAGC
rnacentral:rRNA from 1 species